rnacentral:pre_miRNA from 1 species
UCUAAUAUUUGACCGUCCGUCUUAUUUAAAAAAGUUAUGAAAAAAAUUAACAAGACAAGUCACGCAUAAAAUAUUAAUCAUGUUUUAUCAUCUCACAACAAUGAAAAUACGAAUUAUAAAAAAAUUUCAUAUAAGACGGAUAGUCAAAGUUGAACACGAAAAUCCAGGGUUUGCCUU